rnacentral:rRNA from 1 species
UGGGGAAUUUUGGACAAUGGGCGAAAGCCUGAUCCAGCAAUGCCGCGUGUGUGAAGAAGGCCUUCGGGUUGUAAAGCACUUUUGUCCGGAAAGAAAUCCUUGGCUCUAAUACAGUCGGGGGAUGACGGUACCGGAAGAAUAAGCACCGGCUAACUACGUGCCAGCAGCCGCGGUAAUACGUAGGGUGCAAGCGUUAAUCGGAAUUACUGGGCGUAAAGCGUGCGCAGGCGGUUUGCUAAGACCGAUGUGAAAUCCCCGGGCUCAACCUGGGAACUGCAUUGGUGACUGGCAGGCUAGAGUAUGGCAGAGGGGGGUAGAACUCCACGUGUAGCAGUGAAAUGCGUAGAGAUGUGGAGGAAUACCGAUGGCGAAGGCAGCCCCCUGGGCCAAUACUGACGCUCAUGCACGAAAGCGUGGGGAGCAAACAGGAUUAGAUACCCUGGUAGUCCACGCCCUAAACGAUGUCAACUAGUUGUUGGGGAUUCAUUUCCUUAGUAACGUAGCUAACGCGUGAAGUUGACCGCCUGGGGAGUACGGUCGCAAGAUUAAAACUCAAAGGAAUUGACGGGGUCAUAGCUG